rnacentral:lncRNA from 1 species
ACAGGAGUUUUGAAAACUGGAUGGGCCCCUCUCUUUGUGCCUUCAGAUUCAAAAUCGGGUUGAUUUGGUGAGGAUUUGGGGAGGAGUAGGGAUGGAUUAGGAUUCAGGGAGGGGUGAUGGUUGUAGAUCCAGAUUUUGGGUGUUGGUUGGUGUUCUUCUGUGGUGAAAAAUGGUGGAGCUAGGGUUCAAGGGUCUCUGAUGAAUGAGAGAGAAGAAGGAC